UCGGCUCCUGCAGAGAGCAGCGUAUCGUCCCAGUUCUGUCUCAUCGAAUUCCGUUGUCCAACAGUUGUUCGACUUAAUGCCUGAUCGUUUCAUUGUCGUCCUGACGACGGACGUCCAUUGUCAACAUCUGUGUGGCUUUUAACAGCUGUGAGAACCUCCAAUGUUGACGAACAUUUGUUUUGUUGACUUGCAGAUGGUGUAUAGCAUAUGAAUGCCGAUCAGAAUCUGAGGUGACAUGAGGCAUGAAGGAGCAGCGAUAAACUAUUUAGGGGGGGAAAAGAAUUGAACGGGGCCAUGGCAUGACGACGUGACCGUGCUGUUGCAGGGAGGAAGAAGCUUCCUUGCUCCUGUAUGAAGAGGAAGGAGACACCUCAGGGAGAGUUUUCCUGCAUCGGUGGACACAGCUGCAUCUGUGACGUUUCAUGUCGUUUUGUAGACCGAGUUAGACUCCCUCCUUUUACAACUAAUAGAUGGAGCUUUCUCAGUGGUUGGUGGAGCUGGUCGUGGAAGAAAAGGGGCAGUUUGACGAAUACGAGACUGAGGAAAUUGAGCUCGGCAUGGGCAGAGCUGGAGCCUGCUGGUACUGGGAUCAUGAUAUCAGCACCCAGCUUCCUCUUAUUCCUUUGCUGUAUGGCACUUUCGGCUCGGAGGCCACGCGGUGCUCCUGUCAUGGUGAUGCAGAGACGACCACAGCAGACGGGAUAUGGCGAAGGGAUGGAGCUUUAAGGGAGCCACCAACCGCUGGAGUUCUCAUACGUAGGUCCUAUGUGUGACCCAUGCACAGUUCCGGAGGUGUGAUUGCAGUCACGACGUGUUUGUUGAAAUGCAUAAGGGGGGUAUUUGCAGCAUCAAACAGCACUGGUAGCUCGCCGUCAUCCCAUGAAUGGCUUCGCUUUACAAACUGACGAUAAGUUAACUGAGUUCUCAAAUAGUAGAAAAUGAGCCAAAAUUUGAUGAACAUUCAGUAGGUGGUUGAUGCUGUAAGAUGGAAUGUGAUUCUUGAUGUGAAGCAACUGCAGUUGGCAAAAUUAAGAGAUACAUCCUUCCUGAAGAGAAUAACGAUAUACACAAAAUACCAGAGUGAAUAGAUAGAUAUUUUUGUUGAAAAUUUGUUGAUCAUGACACAUUGCUUUUACCAUUUUCCAUAAUUUGGUAUCCUUGCUCAAUGACAGAAAGAGAUUCUGAUCACAAAUGGUUGGGACUUUACUGCUUGUCGGUGUUGUAGUGGUGCUGGUGGUAUUACUGCUGUGAAGUUAAGAGAAAUUUGUUCCAGGUCAGUCACUUCAGCACAGACAGCUUUUGUAAUGAUUACAAGGUGAAUAUCCAUCAUUCUUUGGCAGGUCAAAGAGAUAACUAGUAUGAUACAAAGUAGGAGAAAUUGUAGAGGAAAUCUUGCUGAGACCCAGAUUGAACAGUUGUUAGUUGGCAAUACAUUGACAGUGACUGGAGUUUGCAUAGAAGAAUGUUUAAUUUCAUGAUGGUAUCUUCACCUCAUCCAGAAAAUACACUUAGUGAAGCAAUUGGUGUUAGCUUUUCAAAUUGGAAUAUGAAGACUAAGUUGUUCAUUAUCACCUUAGACAACAACUGCUCAACACAUGACGUCUAUAGUACUAAUCUUAGAGAUCUUUCCAACAAGAACAUUCUUAUGAUGAAAGGAAGGAAAAUUUGCUGAGAUAGCCUUACAAAUUGAGAUCUGAUGACUAUAAUGAAGCUCUAUCAGCUCAUGACUGGGUCACUGGAAGAUACUGGAGAUCGUUUCUACACACCUAAAACUUUUGUACGACUCUGUGAAUAGUAUCCUCACAACAAUAGAGGAAACUGCAAAUAUAUAGUUUUCAAGAAGCACGAGAAAUCCAGCUAGAGCUAAUUAACACAACAUUGAAUCAGGAACACCAUGGUGAGCAACAUACCUAAGGAGAUGCAUGAAAAGUAUGACAAAUAUCGGAAACAUUAAAAGCCUUGUUUUAGCAUUUUCAGUGGUUAUGGACCUUGAGUCACAAUGAAGCUUGUUGCAUGGGUGAAGAUUCUGCCAGAUAUGUUAAGGUGGUUAAUGAUAUGUAUGAAGUAUAUCUUAAGUAUGUUACCAAGCCACUUCCAAGUUACACCAGCUUAUGUAGAACUAAAGGAGCCCAAGCAGUUGAAUGGCAAUGACAACAACCAAUCCUCAACACCAUAUCCCACAGGCAAUGGGCUUCUUGUCUUCAAUAUCUAUCUCUCCAGGAUAGAAUUGAUGAAUCAGCCAACAGAGUCUGAGUCUCUUGUCCUGUGGAUCCUAGGGUUUGAUCCAAACUGUUGGAAGCUCAACAACCUCUAAGUAUCCUAUUUUAUCCAAGAUGACUAUAUUUUUUGGCUCAGGGACUGGAAGCAGAGUCCUUAAUGAGUAUCAAUCCAGACAGAGUGGAGGCUAUUUUUUUGUGCAGAAGACUAGCUCCAGUAUUCAUCCAUCAUGGCAGAGCCACCCCAACCGCAACAGUGAAAGUGCAAUUCUAGCCUGUCCAAAACUACGUGUCAUCGCAGCAUUGCAGACAGCAAAUAUGAUUAGAUGAGGUCAGUGCCUGUUACAUAAAUGAACUACUCCAUGGAGAUUGUGUGACACACGGUUUUAAGUGGUCUAUGAGUUAGUCUCCACUAUGAGAUUGUUAUGCAGUUAAUUUUACUACCUCAACGAAACAAGAUGUGAUGGGAUUAAACUACUCAAGAUCUUGUUUAUCCAGCUGAUCAAAGAUCUUAACGGCACCCAGAAAAAAUCAUUUUCGACCUCCCUGUUAUCUCGGCAUCCAUCUUCAUCCUCUGUUGUCCACCAACACCAUCACAAGGCCUCUUGCAUGUUGGAUGGCUAAUGGCCUGGUUGAAGACAAACUUAUCGAACAUCCGACUUUGUCUAUAGAUGCUCCAAUCGUCCAGGUACUUGAGGGAGUGAAUUCGUCUGCAUCAUUGAUAAUUACGUAUAACAUAAAGUUGUCAUUAGACCUUUUUAUCAGUUUGCAUUUUACAAUCUCAAGUUCAAAAGAUACUGGGUGUUUCCAUUACCAUUACUAGGAUGUUAUUAGUAUUCUUCCCUCACAUUAUUCAUUACUGACUUCUCUUAGCUUUCAAUAUAGGCAUCAAAUGUGGUUCAUCUUUUGGUCAUGUUCUAAAAUGUCCUACAAAUUCUAAUUUGUGAGAAUUGGUCAUCAGAAAAGCAAAUAGCUUGAUCAGUCCUUUUCUUUUUUUUUUCUCUUUCAGUUUUAACAUCCUUAUUUGAUUUAUUUAAUUAUAAUAAAUUCUUGAUCUGAAUAUUUCUUACUCACAAAUAUUUUAAUUGCAAGUAAUUCGUUUC